GGGCUCAUGGCCUAAUGGUAAGGCGCCAGAUUUCGGUUGACUGAAAUCAUAUGCUAUUCUCUGGAGAUUGCAGGUUCGAUCCCUGCUGGGCUCG